rnacentral:lncRNA from 1 species
AUUAAAGCCUUCUACGUCACAACUACAAAAAAUAUGUUAAAUAUAAAAAAAAUAAAAAUACCGUUCUUUAUUAGCUUAAACUUUUAUAAUAUAACAGUUAUUUUACAUUGUACCAUAUUAAACAAUCGUUGUCCUUUAAAAAUUUAAAAAACUAGAGAACGGUGGUUUUAUAAUUUUAUAUUUAAUACUCCACUCAUUAAAAUAGAGAAAAUUAAUAAUGUUAGGAGUCUGACGUAAUUCGAACUCAUAAUCUCUUAUUCUGGUACCAUAAUAAAUAAAUGAAACGAACGCUGUACUUCAAAAACUUAAACUGAUAAAGAAUAAUAUUUUUAUAUUUAACAAAAUCACAACAUUCAAUCAAAUAUCUUAAUUUGUAUCGUAUG